rfam:Pseudomonadales bacterium RIFCSPLOWO2_12_59_9 rifcsplowo2_12_sub10_scaffold_3761, whole genome shotgun sequence.
UCGUGAGUCGUUGCAGCUAAAUUAUCCGCAACGGCGAACUUCGCCAUAUUCCACGCGGAUUGCGCGGAGUUUCACCAGAAUAAGGAA